rnacentral:rRNA from 1 species
GACGAACGCUGGCGGCGUGCUUAACACAUGCAAGUCGAACGGAAAGGCCCUGCUUUUGUGGGGUGCUCGAGUGGCGAACGGGUGAGUAACACGUGAGUAACCUGCCCUUGACUUUGGGAUAACUUCAGGAAACUGGGGCUAAUACCGGAUAGGCGCUCCUGCUGCCUGGUGGGGGUUGGUAAGUUUCGGCGGUUGGGGAUGGACUCGCGGCUUAUCUGCUUGUUGGUGGGGUAGUGGCUUACCAAGGCUUUGAUGGGUAGCCGGCCUGAGAGGGUGACCGGCGACAUUGGGGCUGAGAUACGGCCCGGACGCCUACGGGAGGCAGCAGUGGGGAAUGGUGCGGAAGGGGCGGAAGCCUGAUGCAGCAACGCCGCGUGCGGGAUGCCGGCCUUCGGGUUGUAAACCGCUUUCGCCUGUGACGAAGAGUGAGUGACGGUAAUGGGUAAAGAAGCACCGGCUAACUACGUG